AACGAACGCUGGCGGCAUGCCUAACACAUGCAAGUCGAACGGCACCUCCGGGACAGGUUGCUCAUGGGUGGGUAACGCGUCGGAAACUUCCCUUAGAUUCGGAAUAACACCGAGUCAUUUGGGCUAAUACAGGGCAAGUUCUUCGGACAAAAGAUUUAUCGUAUUUGGAUGGGCCCGCGAAGGAUUAGCUUGUUGGUGGGGUAUUGGCCUACGAAGGGGUCGAUACUUAGCUGGACUGAGAGGAUGCUCACCUACUCUGGUAGUGAGACACGGGCCAGACUCCUACGGGAGGCUGCAUUGACGAAUAUUGCAAAAUGGACGAAAGCAGGAACAUGCAAGGCCGCUUGAGUCAUGUAGGCCUUAGGGUUAUAAAGCUCGUUUAAACGGGAUGGUAAUGACGGUACCUGGAGAAUAAGCACCGGCUAACUCCGUG
rnacentral:rRNA from 1 species